AGAGUUUGAUCCUGGCUCAGAUUGAACGCUGGCGGAAUGCUUUACACAUGCAAGUCGAGCGGCAGCGCGGGGGCAACCUUGGCGGCGAGCGGCGAACGGGUGAGUAACAUAUCGGAACGUACCCAGUAAUGGGGGAUAACUACCCGAAAGGGUAGCUAAUACCGCAUACGCCCUGAGGGGGAAAGCGGGGGAUCGCAAGACCUCGCGUUAUUGGAGCGGCCGAUAUCGGAUUAGCUAGUUAGUGGGGUAAAGGCCCACCAAGGCGACGAUCCGUAGCGGGUCUGAGAGGACGACCCGCCACACUGGAACUGAGACACGGUCCAGACUCCUACGGGAGGCAGCAGUGGGGAAUUUUGGACAAUGGGCGCAAGCCUGAUCCAGCCAUGCCGCGUGAGUGAAGAAGGCCUUCGGGUUGUAAAGCACUUUCAGCGAGGAGGAAAGGUUGGUAGCUAAUAACUGCCAGCUGUGACGUUACUCGCAGAAGAAGCACCGGCUAACUCCGUGCCAGCAGCCGCGGUAA
rnacentral:rRNA from 1 species